rnacentral:ncRNA from 1 species
CAUGAAUUGAGAAAAAGGUGGUCCUUCAUAUGGCUGCGGAACACUCCGAGGUGGGUAGUUUAUAUGGGGCGGAUGCCUCCUAAAGAGUAAAGGAGGUGUGCGAAGGUAUGCUCGAGCUAAGAUUCUGCUUGUGAGCGUAAUGGUACAUGAGCCUGCCUAACUAUGAGAACGACUGGUCUAAUAGAGACAAAAGUCGGCCAUAGUGAUCCGGGAGUAAUUACGGGUGGAAGGGCUCUCACUCAAAGGAUCAAAGGUAGGUGUGUUGGGGAUAACAAGCUGAUGACUCCCAAGAGCUCUUUUCAACGGAUUUGUUUGGCACUAGAUAAAGGGCAUAACUUCAGGUCAUCCUUAUUCGUG